rnacentral:rRNA from 1 species
GAUGAACGCUGGCGGCGUGCCUAAUACAUGCAAGUCGAGCGAACAGACGAGAAGCUUGCUCCUCUGAUGUUAGCGGCGGACGGGUGAGUAACACGUGGAUAACCUACCUAUAAGACUGGGAUAACUUCGGGAAACCGGAGCUAAUACCGGAUAAUAUUUUGAACCGCAUGGUUCAAUAGUGAAAGACGGUUUUGCUGUCACUUAUAGAUGGAUCCGCGCUGCAUUAGCUAGUUGGUAAGGUAACGGCUUACCAAGGCAACGAUGCGUAGCCGACCUGAGAGGGUGAUCGGCCACACUGGAACUGAGACACGGUCCAGACUCCUACGGGAGGCAGCAGUAGGGAAUCUUCCGCAAUGGGCGAAAGCCUGACGGAGCAACGCCGCGUGAGUGAUGAAGGUCUUCGGAUCGUAAAACUCUGUUAUUAGGGAAGAACAAAUGUGUAAGUAACUAUGCACGUCUUGACGGUACCUAAUCAGAAAGCCACGGCUAACUACGUG